rnacentral:rRNA from 1 species
AGGACGAACGCUGGCGGCGUGCUUAACACAUGCAAGUCGAGCGGAAAGGCCCUUCGGGGUACUCGAGCGGCGAACGGGUGAGUAACACGUGAGCAACCUGCCCUUAGCUCUGGGAUAGCUCCGGGAAACCGGAUUAAUACCGGAUACGACCUAGGCCGACAUCGGCCGUGGUGGAAAGUUUUUCGGCUAGGGAUGGACUCGCGGCCUAUCAGCUAGUUGGUGGGUAAAGGCCUACCAAGGCGACGACGGGUAG